GGCUCUGAGCUCCUUGGAAGACAAGAAUUUCAUGCUGCAUCUUCAGUACAUAGUGACAAGUCCCACACAUGGGGCAAGUUAGACACUGGAAGCUUUGAGGCUGAGCUACGAGCAGUUGCCCUCCUCCACGCAGCACCAGCAGCAUCACCAUACCUACUCUCAGAGUUUCGGUUGCAUGUAGUGAAAGCAGGGAAGUAUUUGUAUGGAAGGACUGAGUAAAUGGAGUCCUCAGUCAACUUUGUAGCCGAGAACUCCACGCAGGACAAGACAGAGACUUCCUUGUCAUUUGGUGCUUCUGUCAGUGAGUCCACUGUCGUGUCAUCAGCUUCUCAAAGGAUGCCUGGGGUCUGUGGAGAAGUCCCUUAAAGAAGUCUUCAUUCUGAAGAACUAAAACGUCCCCGGAUUCUUCUUCUUGCCUUUGAUUGCUUUGCAGAACUUUGCUGUUGUACAAGGAAUAUUUAUAUGCUGGAUCAUCUUCAAUAUGGCAGAGACUAUAGCAAAUCGAGUGAUAGAAAUAUGAAUAAUAUAAGCAUAUGAUGCCUGCUCUCGAAAAGCUCUUGCUCUUAUGGGAUAGAUGAAAUAAUCUACAGCACACAUCAUGGUCCUUUGCUCAAUCAGGAUCCUAAGGAGAUCAUCAAGUGACCUCAGCCAGAUGUCCUAACAACAGUAAGAUGAUAAGUAGGCAUGGUUUUAUUUUUAUUGUUAUUUAAUUUUUGUCUGUAUUUUCUUGAAGUUUUCUUGAUUUCCAGCAUUUCAGAUGUACAGCAAAAUGAUUCAGUUAUCAACAUAAAUAUAUAUGUGUAUAUAUUCAUAUAUUUUCAGAUUAUUUUCCAUCAUAGGAAACUAUAUACAGUCUACUAGGACAGACCAUGAUGGGAAAUAACAUAAAAUAGAAUAAAGGUUUUACAAUAGGUUUCAGGGAACACUUGGUAGUAUCUGUAGAUAUUUUUGCUUGUUAUGGCUUGGAGGGUGAAAGUGCUACUGGCAUCUGGUGAGUUGGAACCAUGGAUGCUACUAAACAUUCAUGGGAUAUCACCCCAAAAUAAUCAUCCAGCUCACAGUGUCAGCAGAGCUGAGGUGAGAACCCCUGCUCCACAUGGAACAAUGCAGCAAAUUCAAAGCUUAGAGUAUCAUACCCUUUCAAACCCCAGGGCUGAAGAGUUUCUGGGCUCCCCUCAAACGACCUUGGGGACACAGCCUCCUGCUAGCUGGGGAACUCAUAAACUACACCUUCUCUAGCAUGGACCAGGGGGCUCUUUCUGGCAGUGGAAACCUUUGCUCUGAACCGAGAUUGAAAUCCUGAGAUUCAGCAAGUGGUGAAUUGAAUUUUGAAGAAUGAUGGGUAAGGAGAGGAACAUUCUUCAAAAACAGCAAAAAGGAAUGGCUAUUGCUGCUUUGACCUCAGGAAGACCUGCUUUUCUCUGUCUUCCCAUGGUUCCUGAUCACUGCUUAGAUUAAUUUAGCAUCCUCAUCCGUACUGAAAUAUUAAUAACUAACAUGGUAAAGCCUUUAUACAAUGACUGAUUUUUAGUAACAUUCUUUAUCAUAAAAUAAAAGCUUAAUAUAAAAAAGAUGGGCAGAUAAUGUUUUAAAAGUUAAAAAUCUAAAAGAAGAGGGAAAAAGAAGUUAUAAUUCCACUACGCAGAAAUAACUGCUGAUAAUAGUUUGGCAGGUGUGCAUGUUUGUGUGUAUAAAGGUAACAGUGUAACAUGAACGUUCUCUCAUAUGGAUAAAAUUUUGAAAACCGUGGCAUACUAUUCCAUCUUAUGGCAAUGUUGUUGCUUUUAAGAUUCUUCCAAGUUUUCAUCACUGACUUUGAUGACAUCCACAUCACUGAUCAGUUGUGAGAAUAAAAGGAGAGAGCAUUUACUCAAAAGACAUGAAUGAGGUAUUUUCUAUGUACCAAACAUUGUGCUAGGUACUUUAAGAGAUGCAUAAAACAUGAUUUUUUUUCUUUUUUUUAAAGUUUUGUUGAAGUAUAGUUGAUUUACAAGGUGGUGAUGAUUUCUGCUAUACAACAAAGUGAUUCAGUCACACAUGUGUACACAUCCACAGUUUUCAAGAUGAAGCAAAUAGCAGAGAGUGUGGGCAGAGAGAAAAUGAGAAGUUGGUACCCGCUGCCAAGGAGGGCCCUGGGAAUCACCUGCUUCGGUGGUGAACAUAGCAAUGAGACCAUCUGUGGGGUCCUCCCUCUAAUCCAGAAACUUCUUCUCUCACUAAACCCCACUCCCUGCCCAUCCAAAUGUUGUGUGGGCCUCUAAAUCCUUGCACUGAACACUAUCCUACUUGGGUUUUGUACAGUCUUCUAGUGAUGUCAUGUUAAAUGACCAUAGACUGGGUAACUUACAUGACAGAUUUAUUUCUCACAGUUCUGGAAGCUGGGAAGUUCAAGAUCAAUGACUCAGUCAAUUUGGUUCCAAUGAGAUCUUUCCUUCUAGCUUUCAGGCGGCCACCUUCAAUACCAUCGUGAGGGCUCCACCCUCAUGACUUCAUCAAUGCUUAAUUACUUCCCAAAGACCCCACCACCAAAAUCAUCACUUUGGGAGUUAGGGCUUGAACAUGUAAUUUGGCGGAGGGGGCACAAUUCAGUGCAUAAGCACAGUGUAUUUCUUUUGGGGUCAGUAAAAUCUUAGUUUUAUCAUAUACAAAAAUGCAUUCACACUCAGUGGAGACAAUACGCUAUCAAUUUAGUGUCUUUGUUCCCUUUAUCACCUCAUUUAUUGAUAUGGGUCAUGCUAUAUGUGUUAAAUGGAAUAUGUUACGCUUUAACAUUAAUUUACAUGUUUAUGCCACAACAUUUACGAUUUCCUGUUCUACGCUGGUGGCUGUGGCUAGCGGCAGAGAGUAAAUGGUAAAAUGUAACCAAUCCAGAUCUGGGAUCUGACCUUACAGAGCUCAGCGGCGACUGUAAAUUGAAGUUCCUUUCCAGAUUCCCCUAUAAUGCAAAUGCUCUAGUGUAUAUUAUUUACAUCUAACUCUGCACACAACUGGCAUCUUUAAGACUCUUGUGUGCAUGUGUAUCAACAAGCUAGCAUGCACCUUCUAGUUUCUGUCAUGCACUGACGGUCUGUUAAAAUGGUUAAGACAGUCGCUUCCUGGGGAAUGGGAUCCCUGUCACGGGAGUCUUUAUACUCCCUGCACUUUUCACACGCAGUCCAAUGCAUAAUAGACAUUCCAUCAUGUUGACUGAGUAAGUGAUGCCCCCUUUGGUUGUCAUAAUAAGCAUCUGAGGAAGGUUCUGAUAUUCCUGACUCAGUAAGAUCAGGCUGCCGUAACAAAGUACCAUAGACUGUGUGGUCUAAACAGGAGAGAUUCUUUCUCUCACAGUUCUGGAGACGGAGGUGACAGCAUGGUCUUCUUCUUCUUCUUUUUUUUUUUUGGUCUUUGUGGGCCACACCUGAGGCACAUGGCGGGAUCCGAGCUGCACCUGUGACCUACAAUACAGCUCACAGCAACACCAGAUCCUUAAGCCACUGAGCAAGGCCAGGGAUCGAACCUGUGUCCUCAUGGAUACUAGUCAGAUUCGUUUCUGCUGAGCCAUGACAGGAACUCCUUAUUCUUCUGAUGAAGGCCCUCUUCCUGGUUUUUGCCUUUAGCCAUCUUCUCACUGUGUCCUCCCAUGGCAGAGAAGGAGGCAGGAGGAGCUCUGGUGUACUGGGCACUGAUGCUAUUGGAUGGGAGAUCUACUCUUAUGACCUUAUUUAAUCUGAAGUAGUUCAGCAAAGGCCUUACCUUCAGAUAUAAUCACAUAGAGAGUUAAGCCUUCAACGGAGGAAUCUGGGGAGGACACAAACAUUCAGUCCAUAGCAAUUCCCAUUUUACAGAUAAGAAAUCUAGAUGUGACAGGAUGUCACCUGCGCUUUGUCCCGAGGCUGACUCCCUCUGAUUGGUAGUGGCUGCAGGAAUCCUGGGAGGGGCAGGAUCCUGGAGGCAUACCUGGGCUCACAAAAGAGCUGACUGGGCAUGGAUGCGGAAGCAUGUGUGUGUGUGAGCAUGAAGCAAGAACCAUCCACGUGUGCACAAAAUUGCCAUCACUAUGCUUGGCACUACACAGCAUUAGCUUAAUUUUUAAUACUUAUAACCUGCAAGGGAAGCACAUUUCCCCCCCAUUUUACAAGGACUGACUUACAGCUAGAGAAUUUAAAUAUUUUACCAGAGGGCUAUUAAAGGUAGAGCUUCUAU
rnacentral:lncRNA from 1 species